GAUGAACGCUGGCGGCGUGCUUAACACAUGCAAGUCGAACGAAGCACCUUAUUCUGAUUUCUUCGGAAUGAAAAAUUUGGUGAUUGAGUGGCGGACGGGUGAGUAACGCGUGGGUAACCUGCCUCAUACAGGGGGACAACAGUUAGAAAUGACUGCUAAUACGGCAUAAGACCACAGCACCGCAUGGUGCAGGGGUAAAAACUCCGGUGGUAUGAGAUGGACCGCCGGCUGAUUAGGUAGUUGGUGGGGUAACGGCCUACCAAGCCGACGAUCAGUAGCCGACCUGAGAGGGUGACCGGCCACAUUGGGACUGAGACACGGCCCAAACUCCUACGGGAGGCAGCAGUGGGGAAUAUUGCACAAUGGGGGAAACCCUGAUGCAGCGACGCCGCGUGAGCGAUGAAGUAUUUCGGUAUGUAAAGCUCUAUCAGCAGGGAAGAAAAUGACGGUACCUGACUAAGAAGCACCGGCUAAAUACGUGCCAGCCGCCGCUGUAA
rnacentral:rRNA from 1 species